rnacentral:rRNA from 1 species
AUUGAACGCUGGCGGCAUGCCUUACACAUGCAAGUCGAACGGCAGCACGGGAGCAAUCCUGGUGGCGAGUGGCGAACGGGUGAGUAAUACAUCGGAACGUGCCCAAUCGUGGGGGAUAACGCAGCGAAAGCUGUGCUAAUACCGCAUACGAUCUACGGAUGAAAGCAGGGGAUCGCAAGACCUUGCGCGAAUGGAGCGGCCGAUGGCAGAUUAGGUAGUUGGUGAGGUAAAGGCUCACCAAGCCGUCGAUCUGUAGCUGGUCUGAGAGGACGACCAGCCACACUGGGACUGAGACACGGCCCAGACUCCUACGGGAGGCAGCAGUGGGGAAUUUUGGACAAUGGGCGGAAGCCUGAUCCAGCCAUGCCGCGUGCAGGAUGAAGGCCUUCGGGUUGUAAACUGCUUUUGUACGGAACGAAACGGCCUUUUCUAAUAAAGAGGGCCAAUGACGGUACCGUAAGAAUAAGCACCGGCUAACUACGUGCCAGCAGCCGCGGUAAUACGUAGGGUGCAAGCGUUAAUCGGAAUUACUGGGCGUAAAGCGUGCGCAGGCGGUUAUGUAAGACAGUUGUGAAAUCCCCGGGCUCAACCUGGGAACUGCAUCUGUGACUGCAUAGCUAGAGUACGGUAGAGGGGGAUGGAAUUCCGCGUGUAGCAGUGAAAUGCGUAGAUAUGCGGAGGAACACCGAUGGCGAAGGCAAUCCCCUGGACCUGUACUGACGCUCAUGCACGAAAGCGUGGGGAGCAAACAGG